rnacentral:rRNA from 1 species
UACGGGGGGAGCAAGCGUUGUUCGGAUUUACUGGGCGUAAAGGGCGCGUAGGCGGCCACUGCAAGUCAGUUGUGAAAUCUCCGAGCUUAACUCGGAACGGUCAACUGAUACUGCAGGGCUAGAGUGCGGAAGGGGCAACUGGAAUUCUCGGUGUAGCGGUGAAAUGCGUAGAUAUCCGCAGGAACAUCCGAGGCGAAAGCGGCUCGCUGGAUCACAACUGACGCUGAGGGACGAAAGCUAGGGGAGCAAACAGG